rnacentral:rRNA from 1 species
AGUAAAUUGGUUAAGUUAGAAAGGGCGCACGGUGGAUGCCUUGGCACUAGGAGCCG